rnacentral:rRNA from 1 species
AUUGAACGCUGGCGGCAGGCUUAACACAUGCGAGUCGAGCGGGGGAAGGUAGCUUGCUACCGGACCUAGCGGCGGACGGGUGAGUAAUGCUUAGGAAUCUGCCUAUUAGUGGGGGACAACAUCUCGAAAGGGAUGCUAAUACCGCAUACGUCCUACGGGAGAAAGCAGGGGAUCUUCGGACCUUGCGCUAAUAGAUGAGCCUAAGUCGGAUUAGCUAGUUGGUGGGGUAAAGGCCUACCAAGGCGACGAUCUGUAGCUGGUCUGAGAGGAUGAUCCGCCACACUGGGACUGAGACACGGCCCAGACUCCUACGGGAGGCAGCAGUGGGGAAUAUUGGACAAUGGGGGGAACCCUGAUCCAGCCAUGCCGCGUGUGUGAAGAAGGCCUUAUGGUUGUAAAGCACUUUAAGCGAGGAGGAGGCUACUUUAGUUAAUACCUAGAGAUAGUGGACGUUACUCGCAGAAUAAGCACCGGUUAACUCUGUGCCAGCCGCCGCCGUAA